UUGAACGCUGGCGGCAUGCUUUACACAUGCAAGUCGAGCGGCAGCGCGGGGGCAACCCUGGCGGCGAGCGGCGUACGGGUGAGUAAUACAUCGGAACAUGUCCUGUCGUGGGGGAUAGCUCGGCGAAAGCCGGAUUAAUACCGCAUACGAUCUACGGAUGAAAGUGGGGGAUCGCAAGACCUCACGCGAUUGGAGUGGCCGAUGUCGGAUUAGCUAGUUGGUGGGGUAAAGGCUCACCAAGGCUACGAUCCGUAGCUGGUCUGAGAGGAUGAUCAGCCACACUGGAACUGAGACACGGUCCAGACUCCUACGGGAGGCAGCAGUGGGGAAUUUUGGACAAUGGGGGCAACCCUGAUCCAGCCAUGCCGCGUGAGUGAAGAAGGCCUUCGGGUUGUAAAGCUCUUUCGGUCCGGAACGAAACGGUUACGGAUAAUACCCGUGACUAAUGACGGUACCGGAAGAAGAAG
rnacentral:rRNA from 1 species